rnacentral:sRNA from 1 species
GGGCGAGUGAGGCUUCCCUGUCAGUUUCUUACAGAUGCAAGAAAUAAACAAGACUUGAUAAGACAUUUCUGAGUAAAAUAUUGGGGAAACUGUUUAUGAUAAGUAAGAUUGAGUUGAAUUUUUAUAGUGUCAAAACUUUUUUAAAUUUUGUACAUACAUAUGCUUGAUCUUAUUCCAGACCUUAUAAGGAUAGACUAGAAGUAUUUUAUUGAAUUUCCAUGAUUUAAAUUUACCAUUUCGCCAAAUUUUGAUAAUCAAAUACGGUAUUGUUUGCAUUGGAAGUUUGUGUAAAUUAAAAUUACUUUAUAUAUGUUCCAAAAUGUUAACUGAAUAGUCUGGUCAUUAGAAUAUGUAUUUUUCUUUUCUGUAUAAUAAAUUUUCAAUAUUAUAAUGUAAAACCUAAGGAAUUUUUUUUAAAUCACAUGAAGUGUUUAAAAUUAGAGAUUAGAGAUGCACAUUUACAUCCUAUUAUUGAACAAUUUGUUCAUUCAAUUUAGUAUAAUUUGGUAUUUGUAUGCAUCAUAUAUAUAAAUAUAUAGGGGUUUUCAACGCUAUUCAUAUAAUAUGAUUGUUAAUAUAUAUCUUCUCUGAAGUGGUUUUCAUGGAAACUCUUAUCUAUUUGCAGUUAUGAACUAUAGAGUAUGUAUGUUUCUAUGAAAACAUGCUAUUUUCAAAAUACAUGUACUAGGAAAGAGAAUUUGUGUGUUAAUAAAGUAAAUAAGC